rnacentral:rRNA from 1 species
CACGGGUGAGUAACACGUAUCCAACCUGCCGUCUACUCUUGACAGCCUUCUGAAGGAAGAUUAAUACAAGAUGGCAUCAUGAGUCCGCAUGUUCACAUGAUUAAAGGUAUUCCGGUAGACGAUGGGGAUGCGUUCCAUUAGAUAGUAGGCGGGGUAACGGCCCACCUAGUCUUCGAUGGAUAGGGGUUCUGAGAGGAAGGUCCCCCACAUUGGAACUGAGACACGGUCCAA